rnacentral:rRNA from 1 species
UACGUAGGGGGCAAGCGUUGUCCGGACUUACUGGGCGUAAAGCGCGUGCAGGCGGAUUGGUAUGUGCCGUGUGAAAGCUCCCGGCUUGCCUGGGAGAGGUCGCGGUAGACAGCCGAUCUGGAGGCUCGGAGAGGUUCGUGGAAUUCCCGGUGUAGUGGUGAAAUGCGUAGAUAUCUAUCGGAACGCCAAAGGUGAAGACAGGCCGCUGGGCUUGUACUGACGCUGAGGAACGAAAGCGUGGGGAGCAAACGGG